UAAUUUUUAAAUCCACAGGUGUUAAGAUUUUUUUCCUCGCAACCAUCUAUGCUAUGCUUGGUUGUCCCCUAUCAUAUGUGCUUUGGUACAGGCCUUUGUAUAAUGCGAUGAGAACUGACAGCGCAGUGAAGUUUGGUUGGUUUUUCCUUUGCUACCUGAUACACACUGGUUUUUGUACCCUAGCUGCUAUUGCUCCUCCAAUUGUAUUCCAUGGAAAGUCAUU